UUUUUUUUUUUUUUCAAAAAAGAAGUUAUUAGAUUCCGCAAUUAGAAGACGCUAAAGAGUGAAAGAAGGAUAGGACGUAAAUGACGCAAGCAGAUAUGGCUUUUAUUUUCUCGGUUUGGCUCAAAACGAGAUAGGGGAAGAAAGAAAUUGAUGAUAGGGGAAGAUUUGCUUCCAUUUUUGUUUUUGAACUAUCAAUAGCUGCGGUUUCUUCAAGUGUUUGGGUUGCUCAAAGACCACCGGAAUAUCCAUUUGUUGAGUUUGAUGAUCACAAGGAUCCUCUCAAUGCAAUUCAUACAUUGGAUGGAUCAAUUGUUUUCUUAUUUUGAUACAAAUACUUGAGCACUCAAGGAGAAUCUGAAAGUUAAACUCUUUCAGUUUUCCCAUGUCCCGAAAAUAUCAUCACUCCCGAUGAUGUACGCAACAUGUGGCACAUUGCUUUUAGUACAUUAGCUCUCCUUUGAUUUGAAGAAAGUGUUCUUGGAGCAGCCCAAAAUUUUCCUUUGGACCAAGUUGAAGGCUACCUAGAAUUGUCUGCCUAAACAAAGAUAUAUUUUUCGCCUGCUGAUGCUAUAUGUGGAAUGCAGAAUUUCUAUAUUAAAGUUGAUGAUGUCUUCCAUGUAAAUAUAAAUGAGUUAUUCUUUUUUCCUUUACUAUGAAUACUCCAUAAAUAACUGAGUUAUUUAAAUUAGUAUCUUUUUUAUUUGAGAAUUACAACUCAAUAUGAUAUUUAAAAUCAUUAAUUCAAGCCCUCACCAAAUUUGUCAUGUUCAGCAUUUGAGGGUUGUUCGUGCAUUACUGGUAUCAAAACACAACAAUUUUAUAAAUUCUACAUGCUCAAUUAGCUA